rnacentral:misc_RNA from 1 species
GUGAGUCAUCGAAUCUUUGAACGCACCUUGCGCCCUUUGGUAUUCCGAAGGGCAUGCCUGUUUGAGUGUCAUGUAGACUCAACCCCUCGGGUUUCCGAGAUGGUUGGAUUUGGGCGCUGCCUACCCGGCUCGCCUUAAAGGUCUUAGCGGAAUAGCACCGAUGUCGGCGUAAUAAGUUUCGUCGACAGACAAGUGUGAUGUCUGCUCAUAAUCGCCCUCGGGCAUCUUUUGACUCUGACCUCAAAUCAGGUAGGACUACCCGCUGAACUUAAGCAUAUCAAUAAGCGGAGGA